UGGGUUUUGUGUUUUCCUGAUUAUUUGUCAAGAACAAAUAAACUAUAUUGCAGUAGAUGUUGGUGUUUUACCCCCUUACUUUUUCAGCAAGUUUUUCUUUUUUUUUUCAUUUUUCUGCUAUUCGUUUGGUUCCGUCACUAAUCUUAAAGGCGGUUUUCCACCAGGCGAAACUUUUCGACCAAAUCAAAAUUUGCUUUUGUCUUAAAAGCAAGAUGGAACUAAACAGAAAUCUUUUGAAUUUGAGCAAUUAAAAUUUUG